rnacentral:lncRNA from 1 species
GGUACUGGCAUUCAGUGAGCCUGGGGGAGAAGCUUCCUAAAAGCAUUGCCCUUGAAAAGCAGGGCAUACCUAUCUGAUACUGAGGAUGUAGAAUGCAGUUUGGAGAUGCUUCCUAGCUACCUAAUCUUCCAAGGCAAACCAUGCACUCUUCAUCCUGAUAUUUGUGAUGCCUCCCUGGGCUACAUGAUAGAGGGUGCACUGCAAAGGAUGUGAAGGAAAGUCACCACAGGGCAAAGGUGGAAACCCAGGGGCCUUUCCCCAGUGAGACUUUCUGGCUGUUCCUUUGGAACUUCCACCUGCUAGUUGCAGAUGUUUGCCACUGGAUGGGGCCCCAUGCUACGUGGGAACUGUUCAGUACUGUGGGUACUUAGUUCCAGCAGAGUUGGCUCCACCAGGGCACCAGGACUGCAGGCUUCUCAACUCCUGGCCUGGAGAGGCAGCUUCAGCAACCAGUGCCUGGGAAUCCACUAGCCCUUUCUCUGUGAGUCACGUGAGGGCAGAAUCUGCUCAAAGUCAGAGGGCUGGAGCAACCUGGAUUAUUGCCAGAGUGAGGGCCCAGCUCACUGGAGGUCAGAGUAAGAGAGUCAAGGAUGGGAAGAAACAGGGUUUUGCUCAGUCUUGCAGAUACUGAGGCACUCAGGAGGCUCAGGAUGGCAGCAACAGGGCAUGUGCUAAGGUGGGGAAGGAGUGACCAAGUGGCAUGGGUGCACCUUACCCCAGCCUCUUCCUUUUAGGCAGCCACCACAGAGGACAUCUGUUUACCUCUGUACCCUACCCCACCUCCAUGCUGGUAGAUAUAGUCUGGGGAUACCUUUAAAACAAACAAACAAACAAACAAACAAAACAGGAUCUGUCUAUCACCUGUCCAAAUCCUGAAGCAAAAUGAGCCUUCUUUAUGGCCACCUUGGAAAGGCCUGAGUCCCCAGCAUCACCUGGGAUACAAAGUGUUCUGAGGUGAGGGCAGAGUGCCCUCCUGCCCAGAUGCCACACUCCACAAUAUCUCUUCCUGGCAGACAGGUUUCUCUUAACUUCCUUUGGCAAAUUUGGUUUCACUUCCUUUUGCAACUUUAGAACCUUUCUCAGGUCGGUCAUAAGGUAGUGGAGAAGCCAGGAUUUGAACCCAUUCUGUCUGAUUCCAGAGCUCAUGCAUUAACCACCUGACUGUGGUGCCUCCCCAUCAUGUGUGCAUCAAGUAUGAUCAUUUUUGUAGUUCUCAGAGUACUUAGCACCAUGCACAUCUGUAAUAAGUACAGCCACUGCCUACUGGGAGGUCUAAAGGUUCAACUCAUAAGGGACCCACAGGCCACACUGGGCUCUAGUCUCCUUAAAAGAUGUGGGACGGAGAUCAACAAUUGUCAGCAGAACCCCAUCAGGCAUCUGUCUUCUCAUUGAGCCUUGCAGCAAACCACACAGCUGUCUAUAACCUAUCUGUUCUCAGAUGCAAGAACACAAGCUGCUCAUCAGUUGGGUGCAGGAUCCACUCUAGUACAAAAGCUGUGUGUCUCAAGGCAUAAUUCCUUAUGAUUACUUCAUAGCUCUGCUUUUGCCUUGAGACAAAAGAAAUUUCCUUCAAUUCCUACUUUUGCUGAGAUAUUGUUUUUUGAAAAUCAAUUAAAUCUUGUCAAUCACUUUUCCCACCUCUUUGAGAUACUUACAUGGCUUUUCUUCUUUAUUCUCUUAGUGUGGUAAAUUACACUGAUUGAUUUUAAAUAUGAAACCAGCCUUGAAUUCCAGGAACAAACUCCAUUUGGGCAUGCUAGAACAACCUUUUAUAUUUGGUUAGAUUUGAUUUCCUGAAGUGGUGUUAAAAGAUUUUCAUAUCUAUGUCCGUGAGGGAUAUUAAUCUGUACAUUUUUUAUUACUAUUUUCUGGUGUUAUGGUAAUGCUAGUCUCAUAGAAUGAAUUAGGAAAAGUUGCCUCCUUCUGUAUUUUCUGAGAGUUUGUGUGGCACUGGUAAAAUAUUUUCUGUAUAUGUUUGACAUAAUUCACCAGGAAAAUUAUUUGUACCUACAAGUUCCCUCCUGGAAAGAUGUUGAUAAUCACUUAUUAUCCUUUCAUUGUCUGCCAGAUCUGUGGCAUUGCUUUUUUCUCUGGUAUUAGUAAUUUAAAUUUUCCCUUAUUUCUUGAUCAAUUUUGGCAGACAUUUAUCAAUUUUAUUAAUCCCUUUAAAAAAUCUGUAUUUAGCUUUGUUAAUUUUCUCUAUUACAUACUUUUUAUUUCUACUCUUACGAUUACUAUUUCUUUAUUUCUCCUUUGGAUUUAGCCCAUUUUUCUAUUUGUCUAAUUAUAGGAUUUAAAAUUCAAUCAUUAUUUUUAGAUAUUUUUAUUUUUAAAUAUAAACACUAAAGUUGCAAUAUUACCUUGGGCACUGUUUUGACUGCAUUCCACAAGUUUUUAUUUGUCAUGUUUUAAUCACCAUUCAGUUCAAAAUACUUUCUAAUGCUCCUUGUUAUUUCUUCUUUGACCCAUUGGUUAUAUAAAAGUAUGUUUUGCUUUAUUUCUAAAUAUGUGAAGACUUUCUAGAUAUCUCAGUUAUUUAUUACUAAUUUAAUUUUAUUGUAGCCAGAGAAAAUACACUGUAUGUGUUCAAUCUUUGGAAAUUUCUUGAGACUUAUUUUUUGACCCAGUAUGUUUGCCCUCAUGAACAUUCCAUAUUCACUAGAAAAAGAAUGUGUGUUCAAAUAAUGUUGGAUAUAGUGUUAUGCAAAUGCCACUAAAUCAAGAUAAAUCUUUUGCACUCUUGUUUUUUGCCUGCUUGUUCUAACAAUAAGUGAGAAAGAAGUGUUAAUAUCUCC